UUGGGUCUCAAUGUCUCUGGGGAAACUCUGAGAGAAAGCACUGAAGACCUCCAGCACAAACAAUUAAACACAUAUUGUAAAAGAUUCAUUCCUUUGGAUCAAACAGCACCUUCUCCAUUGCUUUUCCUUAAGCCCCUCUGAAUGGGGAGAGGGCUGCAGGAGAGACGUGAGGCAGGAGCAAGGGAGGAAGAGAAGCACGGGGAACCUGCUUCAGCUGGACUUCAAGGAGGAGAAAUCUGUCACUAAGAGCCUUAUCACAGAAAGAACCUCGCCCACAUACAGACAUGAGCCCA
rnacentral:lncRNA from 1 species